rnacentral:tRNA from 1 species
GCCUGGCUGGCUCAGCCGGUAGAGUGUGCAACUCCAGAUUUCAGGGUCAUGAGUUCAAGCCCCAUGUUGAGCA